GGGAAGUGACUUCUGGUUCAGGUUCAGGUUCAGGUUCAGGAUGUGAUGGCUGUUGAGAGGCCAGAGCACGGGCUUGGAGCUGAGCCAAAGCGGGGGAUUGAGGGUCAUAUGGUUCGGUAUCAGAGGAGAGUUUGUAGUAAGGUGGGGAUUAAGGAGAUGGUUAUGAUGAUGGUGAGGUGGUUUCAUUCAUGAUUUCUGCUUCUGAAACUGGUAACGUUGUGGUGGCGAGGUUGAAU
rnacentral:lncRNA from 1 species